AUUGAACGCUGGCGGUAUGCUUAACACAUGCAAGUCGAACGGUAGCAGGUCUAGCUUGCUAGAUGCUGACGAGUGGCGGACGGGUGAGUAACGCGUAGGAAUCUGCCUUAUUGUGGGGGAUAACCUGGGGAAACUCAGGCUAAUACCGCAUGAGCCCUAAGGGGGAAAGGAUGGGACCGCAAGGCCAUUCGCGAUAAGAUGAGCCUGCGUCGGAUUAGCUUGUUGGUGGGGUAAAGGCCUACCAAGGCGAGGAUCCGUAGCUGGUCUGAGAGGACGACCAGCCACACUGGGACUGAGACACGGCCCAGACUCCUACGGGAGGCAGCAGUGGGGAAUAUUGGACAAUGGGGGCAACCCUGAUCCAGCAAUACCGCGUGUGUGAAGAAGGCCUGCGGGUUGUAAAGCACUUUCAGUGGGGAGGAAGAGCUUAUUGUUAAUAGCAAUGAGUUGAGACGUUACCCACAGAAGAAGCACCGGCUAACUCUGUGCCAG
rnacentral:rRNA from 1 species